AUCUAGACAUCUGAAGAAAGUUCCAUGCCAGGUUAGAGUCCAUUCUGGCCACGCAGGCUCCCCGUGAGCCUCCCUGAUGAGAGGUUAGUGGGGCCCAUUACCCUGUCUGCAAUACCACAGCCUGGGUUUAAUCAUCUCAGGAUAACCACAGCUGCUUUUGUGUGAGAGGGACCAAAACCACCAAAGAGCUCAGGAGAGCAAAUGUGGAAUGUGGCACAGGGAAGACCUGUAUGGACAGCACAUGAGACAAACCCUCUGUUACUGCAAAGAGGAAAUGUACAGGUGAUUGACUACGACCAAAUCGAAAGAACUAAGAGAGUUCAUCUAUGGAUGGCAUCUCGAAGAUCUUUUCCACAGAAGGAAGUCUAAUUUGUUCAGUUUACAAAUAGUACAGAACUCGUGACAUUUCCUUUGAUCCUGACAUAUAUCUAUUCUAAGCAUAGAAGACUUCAAAUAUUAGAAAGGAGUGAACAACCUGCUUUAGGGAACACACCUGUCUUACAGGAUGCAAACCAAGCUGAACCAAGUUCACUUUCUGUAGAACUGAAGCCCCACCUGGAGCAUUAAAAAGAGAAUGUUGUCAGAUUUUACAACCAAUUCAGAACACAUUUUUUAGCUACAGAAAAACAGGUUUGAUUUUUUUUUCAAUUAUUUAGACUAAACAGACAUUACAGUGUUAAUCCUCAAAAUCUCAGUUACAAUUUCAUCUGUUUUGCAAUAUUACAGUACUAUCCAGACUAGCUUAUUAAUAAACUUCUGCACUGCAAACA